rnacentral:rRNA from 1 species
AUUGAACGCUGGCGGCAUGCUUUACACAUGCAAGUCGAACGGUAACAGGGUGCUUGCACCGCUGACGAGUGGCGAACGGGUGAGUAAUGCGUCGGAACGUGCCGAGUAGUGGGGGAUAACGCAGCGAAAGUUGUGCUAAUACCGCAUACGUACUGAGGUAGAAAGUGGGGGACCUUCGGGCCUCACGCUAUUCGAGCGGCCGACGUCUGAUUAGCUAGUAGGUGAGGUAAAGGCUCACCUAGGCGACGAUCAGUAGCGGGUCUGAGAGGAUGAUCCGCCACACGGGGACUGGGACACGGCCCAGACUCCUACGGGGGGCAGCAGUGGGGAAUUUUGGACAAUGGGCGAAAGCCUGAUCCAGCCAUGCCGCGUGUCUGAAGAAGGCCUUCGGGUUGUAAAGGACUUUUGUCGGGGAGGAAAUGGCUCUGGUUAAUACCUGGGGUCGAUGACGGUACCGGAAGAAUAAGGACCGGCUAACUACGUGCCAGCCGCCGCCGUAA